rnacentral:rRNA from 1 species
UACGGAGGGUGCAAGCGUUAUCCGGAUUCACUGGGUUUAAAGGGUGUGUAGGCGGGUCUGUAAGUCAGUGGUGAAAUCUCCGAGCUCAACUUGGAAACUGCCAUUGAUACUAUAGGUCUUGAAUUUUGUUGAGGUAGGCGGAAUAUGUCAUGUAGCGGUGAAAUGCUUAGAUAUGACAUAGAACACCGAUUGCGAAGGCAGCUUACUAAGCAAAUAUUGACGCUGAGGCACGAAAGCGUGGGGAUCAAACAGG